CCGCGCGCCGCCCGCCGCGCUCCCGCGCCCGCACGCCCGCCGCGCCCCGCCCAGCCGCGCCACCCGCGCCCCGCCAGCAGGAUUUGUACCAGCAAGACCGGCGGCGGCGGCGCCGGUGCCGGGGUGCCGGCCAGGGUCGCGGAGUCGGCAUGGGCUUGGCGGGCCUCGCGGGCUGCCGCGCUGGUCCGGGCUGGUCAGGGCCAAGGGCGGCGCCCCCGACGGCGGCCCGCGGCGGCAGUGGCGGCAGCGGCCACAGCGUAGAGCGGCCAUAGGGCAUGCCGCGCUAUGCAGCUGCUGGCCCUCAACGCCCUCCUCAUGUUCGACGUCGUCUUCGUCUUCUUCCUCUUCCUGGUGGGCGUCUCCUGCCUGGCCUACUACCUGCCCGCCACCUCCCGCCGCGCCACGCCCCGCCACGACCCCGAGCCCGCCUACCCGCCCUCUCCGCGCCACUACGUCACGGACCCGCGCGCGCGCCCCGCGCAGUCCCCCGUGGACCAGGUGUGAGGACGCCGUCGUCCGGGACCACGUGCGCAACGACGUCGUCCGGGACGGCGCCAUGGACGACGCCCAGCUCAACGACCGACUCUUCCUGCCGGCGGCGGCGUCGCUCGUGGCGCCGUAAACAGGCCCUGCAGAUCGAGACGACCUAGUGAUAGUGCGGCAACAAGGGACGGACGGGCGCGUGUGUGUGAGUGUGUGUGUGAGCGUUUUUGUGUAUGUAUGUGUGUGUGCAACCUUGUGUCCGCGAUGCCGCUGCUGCUGCUGCCGCCGCUGCUCCCACAGCAGAACUCGGUGCGCGGACGCUGCUACACGGAUUUUCGGCCCCAUUUGCAUAUCAACCAAACGAAAAAGGGGGCUGCUGGCCUGGCCGGGGGACGACGGAGGAGGCCAACGACUGCGACUGCAAACUGCGACUCAAUUCGGACACGCACGGAUAGAUUUGUAAUAUGUGUGUACACAAUAACUGUAUAAUGACAAUAAACAGUUGCGAACUGAUUUAACACAA